UACAGAGGGUGCGAGCGUUGAUCGGAAUUAUUGGGCGUAAAGCGCGCGCAGGCGGUCUUUUAAGUCUGAUGUGAAAGCCCACGGCUCAACCGUGGAGGGUCAUUGGAAACUGGGAGACUUGAGUGCAGAAGAGAAGAGUGGAAUUCCACGUGUAGCGGUGAAAUGCGUAGAGAUGUGGAGGAACACCAGUGGCGAAGGCGACUCUUUGGUCUGUAACUGACGCUGAGGCGGCGAAAAGCGUGGGGAGCAACAGG
rnacentral:rRNA from 1 species